rnacentral:misc_RNA from 1 species
UACGUAGGUGGCAAGCGUUGUCCGGAAUUAUUGGGCGUAAAGCGCGCGCAGGCGGUUCCUUAAGUCUGAUGUGAAAUCUCACGGCUCAACCGUGAGCGUGCAUUGGAAACUGGGGAACUUGAGUACAGGAGAGGAGAGUGGAAUUCCACGUGUAGCGGUGAAAUGCGUAGAUAUGUGGAGGAACACCAGUGGCGAAGGCGACUCUCUGGCCUGUAACUGACGCUGAGGCGCGAAAGCGUGGGGAGCGAACAGG